AUACUUACCUGGCGUAGAGGGAUACCAUGAUCUUGCAGGCGGUUCCCCCAGGGCGAGGCUGCUCCAUUGCACUGCGGAGUGGUUGACCCUUCCGAUUACUUUUAUAUUUAUCAAUUAAAAAAUCAUGAUAAAAAAUGUAUACCCCGAAUAAUUAUUUU